UACGGAGGGAGCUAGCGUUGUUCGGAUAUACUGGGCGUAAAGCGCACGUAGGCGGCGCAGCAAGUCAGGGGUGAAAUCCCGGAGCUCAACUCCGGAACUGCCCUUGAAACUGCAGUGCUAGAAUUCUGGAGAGGCGAGUGGAAUUCCGAGUGUAGAGGUGAAAUUCGUAGAUAUUCGGAAGAACACCAGUGGCGAAGGACGCACUC
rnacentral:rRNA from 1 species